UACGUAGGGGGCAAGCGUUGUCCGGAAUUAUUGGGCGUAAAGCGCACGUAGGCGGUUUGUUAAGUCGGAUGUGAAAUCCCUCGGCUCAACUGAGGAAGUGCACCCGAAACUGCUGAGCUUGAGUGCCGGAGAGGAUGGCGGAAUUCCCCAAGUAGAGGUGAAAUUCGUAGAUAGUGGGGAGGAACACCGGUGGCGAAGGCGGCCAUCUGGACGGUAACUGACGCUGAGACGCGGAAAGCGUGGG
rnacentral:rRNA from 1 species